rnacentral:rRNA from 1 species
AUUGAACGCUGGCGGCAUGCCUUACACAUGCAAGUCGAACGGCAGCGCGGACUUCGGUCUGGCGGCGAGUGGCGAACGGGUGAGUAAUACAUCGGAACGUACCCUGUUGUGGGGGAUAACUAGUCGAAAGAUUAGCUAAUACCGCAUACGACCUGAGGGUGAAAGUGGGGGACCGCAAGGCCUCACGCAGCAGGAGCGGCCGAUGUCUGAUUAGCUAGUUGGUGGGGUAAAGGCCCACCAAGGCGACGAUCAGUAGCUGGUCUGAGAGGACGAUCAGCCACACUGGGACUGGGACACGGCCCAGACUCGUACGGGAGGCAGCAGUGGGGAAUUUUGGACAAUGGGGGCAACCCUGACCCAGCAAUGCCGCGUGUGUGAAGAAGGCCUUCGGGUUGUAAAGCACUUUUGUCCGGAAAGAAAUCGCGCUGGUUAAUACCUGGCGUGGAUGACGGUACCGGAAGAAUAAGCACCGGCUAACUACGUGCCAGCAGCCGCGGUAA